rnacentral:rRNA from 1 species
UACAGAGGGUGCGAGCGUUAAUCGGAUUUACUGGGCGUAAAGCGUGCGUAGGCGGCUUCUUAAGUUCGGAUGUGAAAUCCCUGAGCUUAACUUAGGAAUUGCAUUCGAUACUGGGAAGCUAGAGUAUGGGAGAGGAUGGUAGAAUUCCAGGUGUAGCGGUGAAAUAGCGUAGAGAUCUGGGAGGAAUACCCGAUGGCGAAGGCAGCCAUCUGGCCUAAUACUGACGGCUGAGGUACAAAGCAUGGGGAGCAAACAGGAUUAGAUACCCGCGUAGU